GUGCUCACUUUGGCAGCACAUAUACGAAAACCGGAAUGGUACAGAGAAGGUGAGCAUGGCCCCUGUGCCAGCAUGACAUGCAGAUUCGUAAAGUGUUCCAUAUAAAA
ensembl:snRNA U6 U6 spliceosomal RNA